UCACUAGAGAUGUACCACUGUAGUGUGAGGUCGAUCUCAUGUGGUGGCAAACAGAUGGAGGCAAGAAACUGGUCAUUCAUCUCCAGCAGCUCAGUGAGACUCUGCAGCAAUCUCUCCCUGGGAGCAGUGGAGAAAGAGAACCGGCCUGCCUUUAAGUAAGAAAAUACCCCAAGGACACUGGAUCUCAGCAUUAAAUCCAAGCCUCGGGAAACAGCCUCCAUAAGACAAACAAGGAAAGAAAUAAACCCCGCUGUCCUGCCAAGGGCAGCCACGUGCUUCCUAUGUCUUCAUUCUCGGAGGGAAUGCUGCUCUCACCAGGAGGAUCCAUGCAAGGAAGAGAGCAACGAAGCCUCUUCGGACCCAACCAGAUGUCUCUGCAGCUGAACAGUAUUGUCAACACCGUGAGAGAUCUAUAGGCACUUAUCCGAGCUGAAAAUCAGAGCCAAGCUGUGGAAUUAAGACAGGAAAGCCUACUUCACAGAUGACGGGGAUGAAAACUCAUAACUCAUCUGUCAGGGGAAGUUGAGCCCCAGCACGGUGUGAUGUGGAGAUGCAGUACAUGACAUCUGGGCACUCCCAGUGCGCUGCCAGCUGCAGCCAUCUGACUGUAAGUGCCAUAGGAUGGGUCCAUAUGCUACCAAGCAGAUAUCACUCCAAGGCAGCUGGGAUGGAUUUCUUAUAUGCUGUGAUGGUUUCUAUCCUUUGCCAGGAAAUGUCAAACGGUGCUUGAUGUGUUAAACUGAAAAUUCUGAACAAAAUUCAGCAAGGAAAAUAAAUACUAUUUAGGUUAGUUGUACCCAGACCUUCCCAACAGAUAACUGUAGGGGCGUGCAUGAGCAGCUGCUGAAGGCCAUUUCCUCUUAAGCAAGAUGGACUGGUAUUGGAGCCACAUUGCAGCAGCUUGAGGAUGACUGUGUGGAGAGGCCAAGAGACACUGGAGACCAU